rnacentral:misc_RNA from 1 species
GUAGGUGAACCUGCGGAAGGAUCAUUAACACGUAUCCACGUUAAUAACCCGAGAACUUCUUAGGAACGUCCAAUCUUUUAAGUUUCAUUCGUGAGACGAAAAAGUGAGGACCUCCUUUGAUAUUCAAACAGAAAAGAAGAACAUUUCUGAGAAAGACCCUUUUCACCCUUGGGUGUCAGGGGACCCUCUCUUAGUUUCGAUCUUUCGCUCUGUUUGGUUGCCUUUAUUGGGACAAAUCUUAGGAUGCGUC